CCCUUCGAUGUCCGGGGCCGCACGCGCGCUACACUGAAGGAAUCAGCGUGGCUUUCUCCCUGACCCGAAAGGGUUGGGAAACCCGUUGAAUCUCCUUCGUGAUAGGGAUUGGGGCUUGAAAUUGUUCCCCAUGAACGAGGAAUUCCCAGUAAGCGCGAGUCAUAAGCUCGCGUUGAUUACGUCCCUGCCCUUUGUACACACCGCCCGUCGCUACUACCGAUUGAACGGUUUAGUGAGGGCCUCGGAUUGGUCUCGGCCCGCUCUUUACCGGGCGGCGCCGUUGGUCGAGAAGACGCUCGAACUUGAUCGUUUAGAGGAAGUAAAAGUCGUAACA
rnacentral:rRNA from 1 species